rnacentral:rRNA from 1 species
UACGUAGGGGGCAAGCGUUGUCCGGAAUCAUUGGGCGUAAAGCGCGUGUAGGCGGUUCGAUUAGUCUGCUGUGAAAGUCCAGGGCUCAACCCUGGGAUGCCGGUGGAUACUGUCGGACUAGAGUACGGAAGAGGCGAGUGGAAUUCCCGGUGUAGCGGUGAAAUGCGCAGAUAUCGGGAGGAACACCUAUUGCGAAGGCAGCUCGCUGGGACGUUACUGACGCUGAGACGCGAAAGCGUGGGGAGCGAACAGG